AUUGAACGCUAGCGGGAUGCUUUACACAUGCACGUCGAACGAGUGGCGGACGGGUGAGUAAUAUAUCGGAACGUGCCCAGUUGCGGGGGAUAACUACUCGAACGAGUGGCUAAUACCGCAUCCCAUUGGCGCGGCCGAUAUCGGAUUCGCUAGUUGGUGGGGUAAAGGCUCACCAAGGCAACGAUCCGUAGCUGGUUUGAGAGGACGACCAGCCACACUGGGACUGAGACACGGCCCAGACUCCGACGUGAGGCAGCAGUGGGGAAGUUUGGACAAUGGGGAAAACCCUGAUCCAGCCAUCCCGCGUGUAUGAGAAGGCCUUCGGGUUGUAAAGUACUUUUGGCAGAGAAGCGGUAUCUGCAGAAUAAGCACCGGCUAACUACGUGCCAGCAGCCGCGGUAAUUC
rnacentral:rRNA from 1 species